AGUGAACGCUGGCGGUAGGCCUAACACAUGCAAGUCGAACGGCAGCACAGUAAGAGCUUGCUCUUACGGGUGGCGAGUGGCGGACGGGUGAGGAAUACAUCGGAAUCUACUUUUUCGUGGGGGAUAACGUAGGGAAACUUACGCUAAUACCGCAUACGACCUACGGGUGAAAGCAGGGGAUCUUCGGACCUUGCGCGAUUGAAUGAGCCGAUGUCGGAUUAGCUAGUUGGCGGGGUAAAGGCCCACCAAGGCGACGAUCCGUAGCUGGUCUGAGAGGAUGAUCAGCCACAAUGGAACUGAGACAAGGUCCAGACUCCUAAGGGAGGCAGCAGUGGGGAAUAUUGGACAAUGGGCGCAAGCCUGAUCCAGCCAUACCGCGUGGGUGAAGAAGGCCUUCGGGUUGUAAAGCCCUUUUGUUGGGAAAGAAAAGCAGCAGGUUAAUACCCCGCUGUUCUGACGGUACCCAAAGAAUAAGCACCGGCUAACUUCGUG
rnacentral:rRNA from 1 species